rnacentral:lncRNA from 1 species
AGACCAGAUAAAGCAUCAAGACUGGUGGUUCACACUGAGCUUAGGAGGAGGGAGCUUUCCAGCAUGAGAAAUGAGACAUGGCUGGCAGGAUGAUGGAGUGAUUAAGAUAGAAUCCCAAUACCAUGACAGAGGAAAAGAAGAUGAGCCUCUGAACACAACCUUAUCCUUGUGGAAAUCUCCAAGGGAAAGGGUAGAGGGAGAGUUCUGAUGCAAGUACUCAAAAGAGAAGACAAUGUGAAAACAGAACAGAGAGAUAUGCCAAGGAAUGCUGACCAUAAUCAGAAGCUAAAAGAGGCAAAGAACAGUCUCUCUCCUAGAGCCUCCAGA